rnacentral:rRNA from 1 species
UGGGGAAUAUUGGACAAUGGGCGCAAGCCUGAUCCAGCCAUGCCGCGUGAGUGAUGAAGGCCCUAGGGUUGUAAAGCUCUUUUGGCGGGGAAGAUAAUGACGGUACCCGCAGAAUAAGCCCCGGCUAACUUCGUGCCAGCAGCCGCGGUAAUACGAAGGGGGCUAGCGUUGUUCGGAAUUACUGGGCGUAAAGCGCACGUAGGCGGAUCGUUAAGUCGGGGGUGAAAUCCUGGGGCUCAACCUCAGAACUGCCUUCGAUACUGGCGAUCUCGAGUCCGGGAGAGGUGAGUGGAAUUCCGAGUGUAGAGGUGAAAUUCGUAGAUAUUCGGAGGAACACCAGUGGCGAAGGCGGCUCACUGGCCCGGUACUGACGCUGAGGUGCGAAAGCGUGGGGAGCAAACA